rnacentral:rRNA from 1 species
CCUACGGGGGGCAGCAGUGGGGAAUAUUGGACAAUGGGGGGAACCCUGAUCCAGCCAUGCCGCGUGUGUGAAGAAGGCCCUCGGGUUGUAAAGCACUUUCAGUGAGGAAGAACGCCUGGUGGUUAAUACCCAUCAGGAAAGACAUCACUCACAGAAGAAGCACCGGCUAACUCCGUGCCAGCAGCCGCGGUAAUACGGAGGGUGCGAGCGUUAAUCGGAAUUACUGGGCGUAAAGCGCGCGUAGGUGGCUUGAUAAGCCGGUUGUGAAAGCCCCGGGCUCAACCUGGGAACGGCAUCCGGAACUGUCAAGCUAGAGUGCAGGAGAGGAAGGUAGAAUUCCCGGUGUAGCGGUGAAAUGCGUAGAGAUCGGGAGGAAUACCAGUGGCGAAGGCGGCCUUCUGGACUGACACCGACACUGAGGUGCGAAAGCGUGGGUAGCAAACAGGAUUAGAUACCCUGGUAGUC